rnacentral:rRNA from 1 species
GACGAACGCUGGCGGCGUGCUUAACACAUGCAAGUCGAACGAAGAGCGAUGGAAGCUUGCUUCUAUCAAUCUUAGUGGCGAACGGGUGAGUAACGCGUAAUCAACCUGCCCUUCAGAGGGGGACAACAGUUGGAAACGACUGCUAAUACCGCAUACGAUCUAAUCUCGGCAUCGAGGAUAGAUGAAAGGUGGCCUCUAUAUGUAAGCUAUCACUGAAGGAGGGGAUUGCGUCUGAUUAGCUAGUUGGAGGGGUAACGGCCCACCAAGGCGAUGAUCAGUAGCCGGUCUGAGAGGAUGAACGGCCACAUUGGGACUGAGACACGGCCCAGACUCCUACGGGAGGCAGCAGUGGGGAAUCUUCCGCAAUGGACGAAAGUCUGACGGAGCAACGCCGCGUGAGUGAUGACGGCCUUCGGGUUGUAAAGCUCUGUUAAUCGGGACGAAAGGCCUUCUUGCGAAUAGUGAGAAGGAUUGACGGUACCGGAAUAGAAAGCCACGGCUAACUACGUGCCAGCAGCCGCGGUAAUACGUAGGUGGCAAGCGUUGUCCGGAAUUAUUGGGCGUAAAGCGCGCGCAGGCGGAUAGGUCAGUCUGUCUUAAAAGUUCGG